GACGAACGCUGGCGGCGUGCUUAACACAUGCAAGUCGAACGGAAAGGCCCUGCUUUUGUGGGGUGCUCGAGUGGCGAACGGGUGAGUAACACGUGAGUAACCUGCCCUUGACUUUGGGAUAACUUCAGGAAACUGGGGCUGAUACCGGAUAGGAGCUCCUGCUGCAUGGUGGGGGUUGGAAAGUUUCGGCGGUUGGGGAUGGACUCGCGGCUUAUCAGCUUGUUGGUGGGGUAGUGGCUUUCCAAGGCUUUGACGGGUAGCCGGCCUGAGAGGGUGACCGGCCACAUUGGGACUGAGAUACGGCCCAGACUCCUACGGGAGGCAGCAGGGGGGAAUAUUGCACAAUGGGCGGAAGCCUGAUGCAGCAACGCCGCGUGCGGGAUGACGGCCUUCGGGUUGUAAACCGCUUUCGCCUGUGACGAAGCGUGAGUGACGGUAAUGGGUAAAGAAGCACCGGCUAACUACGUG
rnacentral:rRNA from 1 species